GCGAACGCUGGCGGCAGGCUUAACACAUGCAGGUCGAGCGGGCAUCCUUGUGGUGUCCGCGGCAGACGGGUGAGUAACGCGUGGGAACGUGCCCUUCGGUUCGGAAUAACUCAGGGAAACUUGAGCUAAUACCGGAUACGUGCGAGAGCAGAAAGGUUUAUCUGCCGAAGGAUCGGCCCGCGUCUGAUUAGCUAGUUGGUGAGGUUAUGGCUCACCAAGGCGACGAUCAGUAGCUGGUCUGAGAGGAUGAUCAGCCACACUGGGACUGAGACACGGCCCAGACUCCUACGGGAGGCAGCAGUGGGGAAUAUUGGACAAUGGGGGCAACCCUGAUCCAGCCAUGCCGCGUGAGUGAUGACGGCCUUAGGGUUGUAAAGCUCUUUUCUCCGGGACGAUAAUGACGGUACCGGAGGAAUAAGCCCCGGCUAACUUCGUG
rnacentral:rRNA from 1 species